UCCCAGUCUCUUAUCCGGCAGCCUUGCACCUCUCCGAGGCAGCAGCAGCAGCAACAGUGCGCGCUAGAGAAGGCGACGGAGGGAUGACUAAACGACGCAGGGAUGAUCAGUCGGAACUACAUGAACCGAUCGGCCGUUUCUGAUUCAACGGAGUAAUUUUUUUCCUUUCGCAAUCCUCUUUUUUUUGAUUUUGAGAGACAGACCAACAGUGGUUUUUCCCAUCGACAUAUCUUGACAUACCUACACGCUCCCGCACAGAUAGACGGAUUGGGGCGCGCGGCGCGCUCCCAUUAUACCCAAUUGGUUAAGGGUAUUUCAUUUUCACCCUCAGAAAAUAGGAUUUCUACGUCAUUAGUUUCAACCGUGCAAACCUAAUCUUUCAUUCGACGAAACCUUGGGGACUCCUACUCGGACCAACCAUGGAUUUGUUUGGUGUGUGUUUCUGUGUGUCUCCGCCGAGGAUUUAUUGUUGUUGGAGGCUGCUCUUUCUUUUCAGCGUUUUUCAGAACUAUCUGAGCUCGAUGCUCGACUGUCCACCGACGUGCACCUGUUCGUCCAGCGAGAUAUACUGUAACAAAUCCAACGAAGAGAAAUUUUUCCCACUAUUGUCCUCUCCGAGCACGGGAACCAAUGGGAAUACCACGGGGCUCAAUGAUGACCUUUGCCAAAACAUCUCCUCCAUACACAUUGAGAACUGGAAGGGCCUGCAGAUGCUGAGAGACAUGGACAUUGAGCUCUACACUGGACUGGAAAGACUCACCAUUACAAAGAGCGGCUUGAACUUCCAUCCAGGCUCGGGCUUUCUCAAAGAAACCCCCAUCUGCGCUUUAUAAACCUUUCCAAGAACCCCUUGACCACCUUGUCCUGGCCGCUCUUUCAGCACCUGCAGCUUAUUGAACUGUGAGUCCAACCCCCCCCCCCCCCCCACACACACACACACACACACACACACACACACACACACACACACACACACACACACACACACACACACACACACACACACACGCACACGCACAAAUGAUUGUGCACGCUCA